AUGUGGUUUGGAAGACUUGGGCGCCUCCCAAGGUUAUUGUUUUCUUGGGUUGCCAUUCAAAACUGGAUUUGGACUGCAGACAGACUCAAGAGGUGCAUUUGGUCAAAUUGCGGGCUAUAUCCUCUUUGUAGGCAAGCCGAGCAAUCGGUGAGCCAUCUAUUCUUCAAGUGUUAGUUCACCUUGAGGGUUUGGGGCAUGAUCAGAGCUUGGAUCAACCUCGUCCACACUAAUACUUCUUGUUGGAUGGAUGAGCGUUCCAUCAAGGAUUGGUGGAUUAAUAUGUCUGAGAAGAAUACGAGGAACCGGAAGGCGAUGGCGUCGAUCACCAUGCUAUCUUGCCGGACAAUUUGGUGUGAACGAAACGCUAGGGUAUUUCGGCAUAAGUCCAUGCUUUCGUCUAUCAUCUUCUCCAACAUCAAAAGCGAUGCUACAAUUUGGGUCACUACCGCGCGAAGCACUUGGGAAACAUCAUUCCGCGAGAGUAAUGGUUUCGUAAUAAUCUUUUUUAUUUUUUUUGUAAAAGUAAUUUUAAACUCCUUAAUUAAUGGAUGA
rnacentral:rRNA from 1 species